UAGGGCUGACCUCGAACAAAGAAAUUCUUAUUUGAGUAACACUUAUAUGAUUUUGUCGACUAAUCCAUUAAAUCAACUAAUCGAUUAGUCGA